rnacentral:rRNA from 1 species
UGGGGAAUAUUGCACAAUGGGCGAAAGCCUGAUGCAGCAACGCCGCGUGAGCGAUGAAGGCCUUCGGGUCGUAAAGCUCUGUCCUCAAGGAAGAUAAUGACGGUACUUGAGGAGGAAGCCCCGGCUAACUACGUGCCAGCAGCCGCGGUAAUACGUAGGGGGCUAGCGUUAUCCGGAAUUACUGGGCGUAAAGGGUGCGUAGGUGGUUUCUUAAGUCAGAGGUGAAAGGCUACGGCUCAACCGUAGUAAGCCUUUGAAACUAGGAAACUUGAGUGCAGGAGAGGAGAGUGGAAUUCCUAGUGUAGCGGUGAAAUGCGUAGAUAGUAGGAGGAACACUAGUGGCGAAGGCGGCUCUCUGGACUGUAACUGAGACGGAGGGACGAAAGCGUGGGGAGCAAACA